NNNUGGGGUUCCCGAGUGGCCAAAGGGAGCAGACUGUAAAUCUGCCGUCAUCGACUUCGAAGGUUCGAAUCCUUCCCCGCACU
rnacentral:tRNA from 1 species